rnacentral:rRNA from 1 species
AGAUUGAACGCUGGCGGCAUGCCUUACACAUGCAAGUCGAACGGCAGCACGGGGGCAACCCUGGUGGCGAGUGGCGAACGGGUGAGUAAUGCAUCGGAACGUGCCCAGUAGUGGGGGAUAACUAGUCGAAAGAUUAGCUAAUACCGCAUACGACCUAUGGGUGAAAGCGGGGGAUUCGCAAGAACCUCGCGCUAUCGGAGCGGCCGAUGUCUGAUUAGCUAGUUGGCGGGUAAAGCCCACAAGGCUUCGAUCAGUAGCUGGUCUGAGAGGACGACCAGCCACACUGGGACUGAGACACGGCCCAGACUCCUACGGGAGGCAGCAGUGGGAAUUUUGGACAAGUGGGCGCAAGGCCUGGAUCCAGCCAUCGCCGCGUGCGGGAAGAAGGCCUUCGGUUGUAAACCGUCGUUUUAGGCAGGAACGAAACGGCGACGAGCCGGAAUAUCGUACGCGUUAAGUCGGAACGUACC